CAUUAAGUGGCUGAAAUUUAAGCAUUGGUCUCUUAAACCAAAAUAUAGUAAUUUAAAACUACUCUUAAUGG
rnacentral:tRNA from 1 species